GGAAAAUAUAAGAUACAUCAUAUAAUGAACAGUAUUGGCCAAAUAUCAGAUUUCGUCAAAAAGACUACAAGAGCAAUUUCAGACCAUAGAGACUAAAAGUAAUUCGAAAAUGAUCCUGCAAAACUUGUCUAUAUAUAAGCUACUUGCAUCUGUACUAAAAGCAAUUACAAAUUGGAAGUUGAGAGGAUGUACAGUUGUAAUAGAUCUUUGAUUCUAAAUGACAAUGAAUGGUGAAGCUCAAGGUUCAUCUGUAUCACUUCCUCCGAGUUGAGCAUCUUCAAGUAUUG
rnacentral:misc_RNA from 1 species